GGGGAUGAUAGGUCUCGACGGAGGUGGAAAACACUGGUUCGCAAGCCGAGAGGCGCCGAACUCGCAAAAUCAGCGUACAAGAUAAGUGCCAAAAACACAAACUACGCCACCCUUCCGCUCGCCGCUUAAGGCUUGAGGAAAGUUGGAAAGACUCUACAAAUGAUGGAGUCCGCUUACUGGAUCCACCCUAUGCUGGAGAAAGAUAAGCGUCAAAAACGCGUAGGUGCGACUUAGGAAACCACGAACUAAGUCAAAGAUGGCCUUUCGGGGCUAAGUGGUUAGUGAAUUGUGAUCACUUGGUUGUGUGGGUUCCAGUUCACGAAUAAAAACACAUAACUAAGCUUGUAGAGAUUCAGUGAUUGAAUCCUUCGGACGCGGGUUCGAUUCCCGCCAUCUCCACCU
rnacentral:tmRNA from 1 species